UCUGGGAUAGUUCCUGGACCGAUUUUAAUGAAAUUUGUUACAUUUGAGAGAGAAAGGUAAAUUCUAGUUGCUGUUGGAAGCGGGAUUUCGAUUUAGGGCUUGAAUUUUUGUUAA
rnacentral:lncRNA from 1 species